CCUACGGGAGGCAGCAGUGGGGAAUAUUGCACAAUGGGGGAAACCCUGAUGCAGCGACGCCGCGUGAGUGAUGAAGUAUUUCGGUAUGUAAAGCUCUAUCAGCAGGGAAGAUAAUGCCGGUACCUGACUAAGAAGCUCCGGCUAAAUACGUGCCAGCAGCCGCGGUAAUACGUAUGGAGCAAGCGUUAUCCGGAUUUACUGGGUGUAAAGGGAGCGCAGACGGCAGGGCAAGUCUGAUGUGAAAGUCCGGGGCUCAACCCCGGGACUGCUUUGGAAACUGUCCGGCUAGAGUGCAGGAGAGGUAAGUGGAAUUCCUAGUGUAGCGGUGGAAUGCGUAGAUAUUAGGAGGAACACCAGUGGCGAAGGCGGCUUACUGGACUGUAACUGACGUUGAGGCACGAAAGCGUGGGGAGCAAACAGGAUUAGAUACCCGAGUAGUC
rnacentral:rRNA from 1 species